rnacentral:piRNA from 1 species
UAAGCCUCAACCCUCACAUUCUUAUUCAUCC